rnacentral:rRNA from 1 species
GACGAACGCUGGCGGCGUGCCUAACACAUGCAAGUCUACGAGAAAAGGGUAGCAAUAUCCUGAGUAAAGUGGCGCACGGGUGAGUAACACGUAGGCAAUUUGCCUUUAGGACGGGAACAACCCCGGGAAACCGGAGCUAAUACCCGAUAAUGCAGCGGCACCGCAUGGUGACAGUUGUUAAAUGCUCCGACGCAAGUCGGAGCGCCUGGAGAUGAGCCUGCGCCCCAUUAGGUAGUUGGUGAGGUAACGGCCCACCAAGCCUACGAUGGGUAGCUGAUCUGAGAGGAUGAUCAGCCACACUGGAACUGAGACACGGUCCAGACUCCUACGGGAGGCAGCAGUGAGGAAUAUUGCGCAAUGGCCGAAAGGCUGACGCAGCGACGCCGCGUGAAGGAUGAAGUCCGUUAGGAUGUAAACUUCUUUUGCAGGGGAUGAAUGUCCCGACUUGUCGGGAUUGACCGUACCCUGCGAAUAAGGAUCGGCUAACUACGUGC